GAGAUCAAAGAAGUUCGCGCGGGCGACAUCGCGGCUGCUAUCGGCCUGAAAGACGUGACUACCGGUGACACCCUGUGUGAUCCGGAAAACCCGAUCAUUCUGGAACGUAUGGAAUUCCCUGAGCCGGUAAUCUCCAUCGCGGUAGAACCGAAAACCAAAGCUGACCAGGAAAAAAUGGGUCUGGCUCUGGGCCGUCUGGCGAAAGAAGACCCGUCGUUCCGCGUAUGGACUGAUGAAGAAUCUAACCAGACCAUCAUCGCUGGUAUGGGUGAACUUCACCUAGAUAUCAUCGUUGACCGUAUGAAGCGUGAAUUCAACGUUGAAGCGAACGUGGGUAAACCUCAGGUUGCUUACCGCGAAGCGAUUCGCGCGAAAGUUACCGACAUCGAAGGUAAACACGCGAAACAGUCUGGUGGUCGCGGUCAGUAUGGUCAUGUUGUUAUCGACAUGUACCCGCUGGAGCCGGGCUCUAACCCGAAAGGUUACGAGUUCAUCAACGACAUCAAAGGUGGUGUAAUUCCUGGCGAGUACAUCCCGGCCGUUGAUAAAGGCAUCCAGGAGCAGCUGAAAUCUGGCCCGCUGGCGGGUUAUCCGGUAGUUGAUCUCGGUGUGCGUCUGCACUUCGGUUCUUACCAUGACGUUGACUCCUCUGAGCUGGCGUUUAAACUGGCUGCGUCUAUCGCCUUUAAAGAAGGCUUUAAGAAAGCAAAACCAGUUCUGCUUGAGCCGAUCAUGAAGGUUGAAGUAGAAACACCUGAAGAGAAUACCGGUGACGUUAUCGGCGACCUUAGCCGCCGUCGUGGUAUGCUCAAAGGUCAGGAAUCUGAAGUUACAGGCGUUAAGAUCCACGCUGAAGUACCGCUGUCUGAAAUGUUCGGAUAUGCAACUCAGCUGCGUUCUCUGACCAAAGGUCGCGCAUCGUACACUAUGGAAUUCCUGAAGUAUGAUGAUGCGCCGAACAACGUUGCUCAGGCCGUAAUCGAAGCCCGUGGUAAAUAAGCCGCAGGGUUAAAAACCAAAAUCCCGUGCUCUCUCCUGAAGGGGAGAGCGCUAUAGUAAGGAAUAUAGCCGUGUCUAAAGAAAAAUUUGAACGUACAAAACCGCACGUUAACGUCGGCACCAUCGGCCACGUUGACCACGGUAAAACUACCCUGACCGCUGCAAUCACCACCGUACUGGCUAAAACCUACGGCGGUGCUGCUCGUGCAUUCGACCAGAUCGAUAACGCUCCGGAAGAAAAAGCGCGUGGUAUCACCAUCAACACUUCUCACGUUNGUAACAUCAAAUCGUACCCCAAACCGACACAGGUGGUCAGGUAGAGAAUACCAAGGCGCUUGAGAGAACUCGGGUGAAGGAACUAGGCAAAAUGGUGCCGUAACUUCGGGAGAAGGCACGCUGACACGUAGGUGAAGUGAUUUACUCACGGAGCUGAAGUCAGCCGAAGAUACCAGCUGGCUGCAACUGUUUAUUAAAAACACAGCACUGUGCAAACACGAAAGUGGACGUAUACGGUGUGACGCCUGCCCGGUGCCGGAAGGUUAAUUGAUGGGGUCAGCGCAAGCGAAGCUCCUGAUCGAAGCCCCGGUAAACGGCGGCCGUAACUAUAACGGUCCUAAGGUAGCGAAAUUCCUUGUCGGGUAAGUUCCGACCUGCACGAAUGGCGUAAUGAUGGCCAGGCUGUCUCCACCCGAGACUCAGUGAAAUUGAACUCGCUGUGAAGAUGCAGUGUACCCGCGGCAAGACGGAAAGACCCCGUGAACCUUUACUAUAGCUUGACACUGAACAUUGAGCCUUGAUGUGUAGGAUAGGUGGGAGGCUUUGAAGUGUGGACGCCAGUCUGCAUGGAGCCGACCUUGAAAUACCACCCUUUAAUGUUUGAUGUUCUAACGUGGACCCGUGAUCCGGGUUGCGGACAGUGUCUGGUGGGUAGUUUGACUGGGGCGGUCUCCUCCUAAAGAGUAACGGAGGAGCACGAAGGUUGGCUAAUCCUGGUCGGACAUCAGGAGGUUAGUGCAAUGGCAUAAGCCAGCUUGACUGCGAGCGUGACGGCGCGAGCAGGUGCGAAAGCAGGUCAUAGUGAUCCGGUGGUUCUGAAUGGAAGGGCCAUCGCUCAACGGAUAAAAGGUACUCCGGGGAUAACAGGCUGAUACCGCCCAAGAGUUCAUAUCGACGGCGGUGUUUGGCACCUCGAUGUCGGCUCAUCACAUCCUGGGGCUGAAGUAGGUCCCAAGGGUAUGGCUGUUCGCCAUUUAAAGUGGUACGCGAGCUGGGUUUAGAACGUCGUGAGACAGUUCGGUCCCUAUCUGCCGUGGGCGCUGGAGAACUGAGGGGGGCUGCUCCUAGUACGAGAGGACCGGAGUGGACGCAUCACUGGUGUUCGGGUUGUCAUGCCAAUGGCACUGCCCGGUAGCUAAAUGCGGAAGAGAUAAGUGCUGAAAGCAUCUAAGCACGAAACUUGCCCCGAGAUGAGUUCUCCCUGAGACUUUAGGUCUCCUGAAGGAACGUUGAAGACGACGACGUUGAUAGGCCGGGUGUGUAAGCGCAGCGAUGCGUUGAGCUAACCGGUACUAAUGAACCGUGAGGCUUAACCUU
rnacentral:rRNA from 1 species